CCUGGAAGUCAUGUUAUGUAACAUCACGUGAAAUCAAACACCAGCCACUUUUGAAAGUAAUAAACUUAAAGGAUGAGGAAGCAGAAGUUAAAUAUCUGUUCAAUGAGAAACAGCUAAUAACUUCUUGACUUUAUGAUCUUUCUACUGUAUUGUGGAGCCACAUAUAAUCUUCUCUUUGACCAGGAGAGAGUAAGAAGAGGCUGGAAAGAUAUUUGCUGAUUUGGGUGAAUUAAGUGGAGAGACUAGGAACAUCAAAAUCGGGUGAGAUUGCCAGCUACCUAACAAAUCUGCAUUCAAACCAGAGGGCC